AAACAUAUUGUCCACACAGCAGGAUGGGAUGGUAAUUUACUAUACACAGCCAGGGAAGACACGCUUUACAGCACAGAUUUGCAGCUUUUAACCUGGAAGCUUCACAGCAAAGGCAAUUCGGCUUUACUUUGUUUCCCUUCGAAUCCCAAAGAAAGCAUUAUCUACUUUGUUACUAAACAGAGCAGGCAAUAUUUUAUAUUGCCAUAGUCAAUUAUGUGAGGCUGUGUAACCUUUUCCAGCUAUUACAGUCUUCAAAUCUUUCUGUGCUAAUGUUGCCAACAAUACAGAAGCAGCUUCAAAGCAUCUUUGCAGUGUUCGAAAGAGAAGACAGCUGGUACUGCUUAGAAACUAAGCUGCGAUGACCAGAUUUCUAAUUUAUAAAACUGGGGCAGCACACGUCAGGGGAACGUCGGCGGUGGUUUUGUGAAGAACACCCCAUGCCUGCUUUUAUAGAAGUCACAUAAACAACACCUAGUCUCAUUGGAAAACGAUGGAAACUUUGUCAGCAGAACUUCAUGAAAAAGAAAUCUCUUGUUUAGAAAAUAAGUCAUGAUUUAAAAGGACCAGCAGCAUCUGUGAAGAAACCCUGUCAAUCAGAAUCCUACACACAUGCAAAGGUUUGCCCGCCUCAGCCCUGUAGGACUGAUUCACUCAGACCACACUGCUAGCCCUGUCACCAAGCUUUCGUUCUUGUCUCCCUUUCUCUGUGCCAUUUUACCUCCACAAAGUUCAAAUUCUUUGUCUAUAUAAUCCUGAGUUAAAAUAAAGUUUCAGCAGAAGAAGUAAUAUGACCAAAUUAAGUAUAACAAGGGAGUUUUUAAAAAAUAAAUAAGCUAUAAGAUCCACUAAAGAAUUUACUAUGACAGGGAAAAAAUUAUGUAUUUUGUACUAAGUUACACACACUCUUUCAGGGGUACACUAAAACCCAUAUAACGCCAUUGACUAGAUAAGCCAUUAUAAGCUUAUAAGCAAGUUCCAAGAUGUCAAGAAAGGUGAUUAGAAAGUAUAGGGAAGCAUAAUCAGUAAUCAUCAUGAUAGAACUUAAUUUUCAGGUAUAUUGUUGAGCCAUGAUUCUUGUUUCAGAAAGUAGAAAGCAGACCACUUUCCCUGUCCCAUUGGUAAUGUGAAGGAAACAGUUCUGACUAGAAAUGAAGGGGAUUGACGAGGUGUUUUUGACACCUGUGCUCAGUCCAUUCCUCCUCCUUCCUCCAGACUUUUUGCUCUGUUCUUAGGCAGCGCAGAGAUAAUAGAAGAUCUGCAUGGUUGAGUGGGACUUCCUGGUUAUGUUGCUUAAGAUAUCUGAGCACAGGGAGGAGUAAGCCCUGCAAAAAGUCUAGGAAAUCUUCAGUGUUUCUAGUUUUCUGCUGCUCUAAUUAAACAUUUGAGAUAAAUUAACUGACACACAGAAUAAAAUCAGAUACCUUCUCUCUUGGAAUUGGUAGAGAUUACAUGUCUGAGAACUCAGUAUCUAGCCCAAAGCCCAACAUAUGCAAAGGCAAAAAUGACGAA
rnacentral:lncRNA from 1 species